rnacentral:rRNA from 1 species
AUGGCGAACCCGAGGAGGGCCAUCGCGCUGCAAAUCAACACCCAGACCCCGCCAUUCCCCGCCGCCGCCGCGCCCUCGUCCUCCUCGCUGCCCUCGUCGCUCCUCCACUUCCUGAAGCGGCCGGCGUCCUUCCCCUUCCUGCUCUCCCUCUUCGUCCUCCUCACCUGGAUCUCCCUCCACUUCCACCAACCCACCCCCUCCGCCUCCCUUCAGCGCCCCACCGUCGUCCACGACCCUCAGGCCAACCUCGUCCGCUACCCCGCCGCCCUCCAUCCCACCCCCAUCGCCGCCGACGAGCGCGGAUGGCUACUCGACCCUGUCGCCGCAGCCCGCGAGGCCGGCCUCCCAAAUGGGGCGUUGGUCUGUCUUUCACUACACGUGGGACUGAUCCAGCCAGGUGGUUUGCGUGGCAACCAUCGUCACCAUACAUGCAAUGAAACAUUCGUCAUCUGGGGCGCAAAAACAAAAUUCAGGUUAGAAAAUCCUGAUGUAAAAGAUAAAGGAUACGGAGAAGCCAUAAUUGCUGCUGACGAGGUAGCCAUUGUCGCAAGCGCAAGAUCAACCGCACACGCAUUGAUCAAUAUGGAUGUGCGACCGACCUUCUUCUUGGGAUGUCAAGAUACACCAAUAAAUCCCAACAGUUCAAAUACUGACUACAAGGUCUGGAAAGAUCUCUGA